rnacentral:rRNA from 1 species
UAAUACGUAGGGUGCAAGCGUUGUCCGGAAUUAUUGGGCGUAAAGAGCUCGUAGGCGGUUUGUCGCGUCUGCUGUGAAAACGCGAGGCUCAACCUCGCGCCUGCAGUGGGUACGGGCAGACUAGAGUGCGGUAGGGGAGAUUGGAAUUCCUGGUGUAGCGGUGGAAUGCGCAGAUAUCAGGAGGAACACCGAUGGCGAAGGCAGAUCUCUGGGCCGUAACUGACGCUGAGGAGCGAAAGCGUGGGGAGCGAACAGG